AGAGAACGUUCAUUCCAGUGCUAUCGGUGAAGCAGCCAUAUAUUCUCCGUUUGUGACCUCCUUCAGCAAGUCUAGUAGCUCCUUGCCUAAUUUAGCCAGCUCUUUCUAAGUCCUUUUUAUUUCAGAACUAUGUUGUUAGCACAUCCAAGAGAGAUACUGCUUCCUCUAAUACAAAAUGGUCUCUUCUCAGAAAAGUUGUCAGCUAGACAGCCUCACCACUUCCUCUGUGUGAAUAUAAAUAAGUAAAUAAGGAAGCGCAGCGCAAGUGUUGAAAAUGUUUUGCCUGCUGCAUGUAAUAAGCUCCUGUACACCCUAUUUGUAAUUGCACAUAUAAAUACUUGGAUAUUAUCACACUCUGUACUGUAUAAAAAUAUUGGCAUAUUAUCUGCAUAGACAUCAGUCAGCACUUCUGUGCACGUUUUGUCCACACAAGACCCCCAAAACAAGGAAAUGUUCACUUCUUCAGCACAUCUCACUACCUGAAUAUCACGUUGCCUUUCUCUGAUUUGCACAAUCACUAACGGUUACCUUUGGAAUUGUACACAAAGAGACAUGAGUUAGGAAUGGAAUUUCAGUCAUUUUUUUCAGUCUCUCAAAUUUAGGAUGAUUAUUUCUCAUUGAAAGUAAAGAAUGGACAAACUGAGAUGAAAACCUGUUAUGUAGUCAUUAUUUCUACCUCCAGCUCUGCAUUUCAGGUACCUCUCAUGAGGAAUUUAUGUCUGAAAAAGAAUCCACACUACCUUAACAUCACCAGAGGAACAUGAUGUACUGCAUCACUCAUGUUUAUCCAAUUAAUGUACUGUCUCUUCAAAACAUCAUCACCUCUUCAUUAUAAAUCCAAAACUGGGGAAGAAGUAGGAGUCAAUAAAUGUGUGACAAAAGAUCUCCAAAAGAGAAGUAGUUUUGGUGGUAUAUCUUCAGCAGUGGUAAAGAUAUAUUGCCAGAUUGCAUUUUCAACCUAUGCACAUGCUUGAGCAUUUCAAUGGAAAAUAUUGCUCAACUCACGCAAAAACAUGGGUGAGUCAUGGUUCCCAAUCCCAACCAAGCUACCUGAGAGUUGUUAUUUUAAAAGAUGCCUUUAAAUGUCUUUCUCUGUGGCUCAAAAAUGCAGUGUGGCA
rnacentral:lncRNA from 1 species